GAAGAUUUGUCGAAAAAGUUGUUGAGUGUUUGGCUUAAUGGUGUGUUUAUCCUUACUGUAGUUUUUGUCAAUCAUCUUGCUAAACUCAGCAGGAUCAUGGAAGCUAUCGUAGACAGAUUGUUAACCAAUAGAUUUUUUACUCAGCUUGUAAAUUCUCUUUUAAGCUAGAUUAUAGGUUCUUUUGUUUUGUUUUCAGGGUUUCAAAAGGAUGAAUAUUGAUAUAACUUAACUUUUUUUAGUGACACAAACA
rnacentral:lncRNA from 1 species